rnacentral:rRNA from 1 species
CCUACGGGAGGCAGCAGUGGGGAAUAUUGGACAAUGGGGGGAACCCUGAUCCAGCCAUGCCGCGUGUGUUAAGAAGGCCCUCGGGUUGUAAAGCACUUUCAGUGAGGAAGAACGCCUGGUGGUUAAUACCCAUCAGGAAAGACAUCACUCACAGAAGAAGCACCGGCUAACUCCGUGCCAGCAGCCGCGGUAAUACGGAGGGUGCGAGCGUUAAUCGGAAUUACUGGGCGUAAAGCGCGCGUAGGUGGCUUGAUAAGCCGGUUGUGAAAGCCCCGGGCUCAACCUGGGAACGGCAUCCGGAACUGUCAAGCUAGAGUGCAGGAGAGGAAGGUAGAAUUCCCGGUGUAGCGGUGAAAUGCGUAGAGAUCGGGAGGAAUACCAGUGGCGAAGGCGGCCUUCUGGACUGACACUGACACUGAGGUGCGAAAGCGUGGGUAGCAAACAGGAUUAGAUACCCCUGUAGUC